GAAACGGCGUUCUAAUACUGGAUACGAACCGCCAGCCGCAUGGCUAGUGGUUGGAAAGAUUUUUCGGUCUGGGAUGGGCUCACGGCCCUAUCAGCUUGUUGGUGAGGUAAUGGCUCCCCAAGGCGUCGACGGGUAGCCGCCCUGAGAGGGUGACCGGCCACACUGGGACUGAGACACGGCCCAGACUCCUACGGGAGGCAGCAGUGGGGAAUAUUGCACAAUGGGCGAAAGCCUGAUGCAGCAACGCCGCGUGAGGGAUGACGGCCUUCGGGUUGUAAACCUCUUUUAGCAGGGAAGAAGCGAAAGUGACGGUACCUGCAGAAAAAGCGCCGGCUAACUACGUGCCAGCAGCCGCGGUAAUACGUAGGGCGCAAGCGUUAUCCGGAAUUAUUGGGCGUAAAGAGCUCGUAGGCGGUUUGUCGCGUCUGCUGUGAAAUCCCGAGGCUCAACCUCGGACCUGCAGUGGGUACGGGCAGACUAGAGUGCGGUAGGGGAGAUUGGAAUUCCUGGUGUAGCGGUGGAAUGCGCAGAUAUCAGGAGGAACACCGAUGGCGAAGGCAGAUCUCUGGGCCGUAACUGACGCUGAGGAGCGAAAGGGUGGGGAGCAAACAGGCUUAGAUACCCUGGUAGUCCACCCCGUAAACGUUGGGAACUAGUUGUGGGGUCCUUUCCACGGAUUCCGUGACGCAGCUAACGCAUUAAGUUCCCCGCCUGGGGAGUACGGCCGCAAGGCUAAAACUCAAAGGAAUUGACGGGGACCCGCACAAGCGGCGGAGCAUGCGGAUUAAUUCGAUGCAACGCGAAGAACCUUACCAAGGCUUGACAUAUACGAGAACGGGCCAGAAAUGGUCAACUCUUUGGACACUCGUAAACAGGUGGUGCAUGGUUGUCGUCAGCUCGUGUCGUGAGAUGUUGGGUUAAGUCCCGCAACGAGCGCAACCCUCGUUCUAUGUUGCCAGCACGUUAUGGUGGGAACUCAUGGAAUACUGCCGGGGUCAACUCGGAGGAAGGUGGGGAUGACGUCAAAUCAUCAUGCCCCUUAUGUCUUGGGCUUCACGCAUGCUACAAUGGCCGGUACAAAGGGCUGCGAUACCGUAAGGUGGAGCGAAUCCCAAAAAGCCGGUCCCAGUUCGGAUUGAGGUCUGCAACUCGACCUCAUGAAGUGGAGUCGCUAGAAUCGCAGUCA
rnacentral:rRNA from 1 species